GCCAGAUGAAAACAUUAUCUCUGUCAAGGCCUCUGACAAGGAUGUGGAGAGCGACUCAGGCUGUCCUGAUGGUGGGCCUUCUUCAACCCCCAACCAGGGUGAGACCACUGGACACAGUGUUGAUGCAGCUCCGGCAUCACCUCGUGAACUCUCACCCCGAGCCAGUCGCAUCCCCAUCCGUGACCUGGACUCUCCAACCCGUAGGGGUUUUCCAGCUCCGCUUUCUCCGUCUCUGUCACUGUCAUGUGAGCACUUCCCCUUAGCACUGCUGCGCGACAAGUUCACUUUCCCCACUGGUUCUCGAGGGUCCGACUGGCAGGUGGAGGAGCCACACUCUCUGUCUUCCUCCUCAGGACCUGUGUCGAGCAAGAGUAAAAUACCAAGACCCAUGAGCCCCACACUAGUGCCGGAUCAGCUGUCUGCACGAUUUAUUCCACGGCCGCCACCAGGAAAACCACCCCUUCGCACAGGUGGCGAGAACAGACGUAGGCGCUACCGCAUUCGUGCUAGCAGCACCGGUGACACGGACCUUUUGGACAACCUCUCUCAGCUCAUGCAGGAGCGAGGAGGACUGGCUGUCAGCACCUCACGUUACCAACGCACUACUGCCUCCUCUCUGCAGCGCUCGUUAAGCUCCUCGCCUUCCCGUUUUGAGGGGGGUCACAGCCAGUCACCAAAUAGCUGCUCGGCCUCCCCGCCUCCUCGAAUCAGUGACUUAACAGUAAAUCACGGAUCAGGGUUCUGCCCCAGAGUCAGAGCCGGAAGUCCUGAGAGCAAAACCACAACCAAAAUGAGCAAAUAAAGAGAAAAGCUUGUAACCGAUGGCGUGAGUUGUCAGUAAUUUGACAACCGGUUUCAAAAGUAGCGUUUGAUGAACUGUAGCGUUUUUACAAGUGGUGUUUUGAUAAGUAGAGUGAUAAAGGACCUGGUAUUUGCCGGUUGGUUGUGAUUACUUGAGAGCAUCAUGUUUUGGACAUUUUUGAAAAAUUUGAAAUAUUAACAUGCUAAAUGUUCCAGUGACGCUGUGUAACUUUCUUCUAAACAAAUUGCCCAUUGCAAUCCAAAUCUAUAUAGUGUGUGCCAUAUAUUCUUUUUCUUCUUGCUAUGUAAAUUAUCUGUUUACUUUUUCAUGUUUUUUGCACUUUCUGGUUUACAUACAAUCUGACAUAUGUAAGAUAUGUCAGAUUUUGAACAUUAACUAUCAGUGAGAACAUUUGAAAUCUGAAAACAAUGGGGCUGCACUUAGUAACUCAUUGUAUUCUGUCAAACAGAUGCAUGUUUUUAGGCACUCCAGAUACUCUAGCCUUACAUUUUCUAUAAUUUUUCUGUUUUUUAAUCAUUGGUCAAAGCGUUUAUGGUUAAAUGCUAAUUUCAACAGAUAGCUAUCUAUACAGUGUAUUAUCAUUCAUGUAUAGGGACAUCUGGUACAAGCAAGCAUGUGUAUAUAUGUAUUUCAGGGAAUGUAUGUACUGUAAACUGUAUCAUCUAUAGAAUGCAUUUAUUUAUUUAUUGGAUGUGGUUAUGUACCUGAUGAUGUAGCUUUAUUACUUGCUACUGAGUGAAUUCGCCAUCACAUUAAGGGUCAGCAACCUUGCAAUUGCCAAGUAUAAUCUCUUCCAUGCCUGCAAUAUCAUACUAAUAAUCCCUGUAAAUAGUCAUAACGUCAGUAAGAAACUUACCGAUAUAUUGCAGUGAAACACUAUGGACCCUUAAAUGAACUUGAUUCAAACACUAUAGUCCCAUUACCAUAUUACUUGAAUACAACAGCAAGAUGUCUGCUUGAUGAGUUGGCUGCUUAUGCUAAGACACUUCUGCGGUUUUUGGGAUUGAAUUCUCCACCAUGGCAUUUAUUGACAGUUGUAUGAGGAGUGCGAGACCCGUGUGAUGUACAAAGGGAUUGUUGCUACCGAGUCAUUACCACGACUUCAUUGUGUGCUGUGCAGCUAGAAUAAUUGUUUUGCUCUGGAUCGUCUAUUUUGUCCUCUGGAAGUACUUUUACUUUAAAAGCAUCAGUAUAGGCCCACAACUGUUGGUACAACUGAUGGUUUAUCUUAAGAACUGUAUAUAACCUGAACUGUAUAUAGAUAUAAAUAUAUUAAGAAAAAUAAAUUCCACCUCAUGCUUCAUGUACUGUAUUUUGCUAACAAACAAUUCAAUCAUUCAAAAAACAAAGUUACCAUGUUGGAAUGUAUAUGUAUUCACAUCAAUGGAAUAAAUAAGUACUCUUAAGUACUUGAUGCUUUAUAUUGUGACAAUAUUAUGCUGUCAUUAGCUUAAUAAACACGUUUGAUCUCAAACGACUUACCACCACAAGCACGCACAAAUCAGGCAACCAACUUGACUUAAUUUACACACGCAAUUGUAUUGCAGACAACAUUCUCAAACCCCUACAUAUCUCUGAUCAUUUCUUCAUUACAUUUCAACUACAUUUUGCUACCUGUGUGCCACCAACCCCCAUACCGGUUACUUUUAGAUGAAACCUACGCUCCCUUUCCCCCUCCCAUCUUUCCUCCGUUGUAUCCUCCUCUCUUCCCUCACCUACCCAUUUCUCAUCUCUGGAUGUGAAUGCAGCAACUGAC
rnacentral:lncRNA from 1 species